GAAAGAACUAAAGAGGUCCUUAUGUAAGAAGCAAGCAUCUGAGGCACUUGCAACAGUAAUGCCAAUGGAGGUGGUUGAAGAAGUUUUAAAAGAAGCUUCGAUACUAAAUAUUGAAGAGGAGCAACCAUUUGAUGAUCUGUCUCGGAUGCUCAAAGAGGCCACUUCCUAGGAAGAGAAGGCUAGACUUAUUCUUGAACGAUCAGCU